rnacentral:rRNA from 1 species
AUGCCUAAUACAUGCAAGUCGAACGAGCUUCCGUUGAAUGACGUGCUUGCACUGAUUUCAACAAUGAAGCGAGUGGCGAACUGGUGAGUAACACGUGGGGAAUCUGCCCAGAAGCAGGGGAUAACACUUGGAAACAGGUGCUAAUACCGUAUAACAACAAAAUCCGCAUGGAUUUUGUUUGAAAGGUGGCUUCGGCUAUCACUUCUGGAUGAUCCCGCGGCGUAUUAGUUAGUUGGUGAGGUAAAGGCCCACCAAGACGAUGAUACGUAGCCGACCUGAGAGGGUAAUCGGCCACAUUGGGACUGAGACACGGCCCAAACUCCUACGGGAGGCAGCAGUAGGGAAUCUUCCACAAUGGACGAAAGUCUGAUGGAGCAAUGCCGCGUGAGUGAAGAAGGGUUUCGGCUCGUAAAACUCUGUUGUUAAAGAAGAACACCUUUGAGAGUAACUGUUCAAGGGUUGACGGUAUUUAACCAGAAAGCCACGGCUAACUACGUGCCAGCAGCCGCGGUAAUACGUAGGUGGCAAGCGUUGUCCGGAUUUAUUGGGCGUAAAGCGAGCGCAGGCGGUUUUUUAAGUCUGAUGUGAAAGCCUUCGGCUUAACCGGAGAAGUGCAUCGGAAACUGGGAGACUUGAGUGCAGAAGAGGACAGUGGAACUCCAUGUGUAGCGGUGGAAUGCGUAGAUAUAUGGAAGAACACCAGUGGCGAAGGCGGCUGUCUAGUCUGUAACUGACGCUGAGGCUCGAAAGCAUGGGUAGCGAACAGGAUUAGAUAC